rnacentral:misc_RNA from 1 species
GAUGAAGAACGUAGCGAAAUGCGAUAAGUAAUGUGAAUUGCAGAAUUCAGUGAAUCAUCGAAUCUUUGAACGCACAUCGCGCCCCUCGGUAUUCCGAGGGGCAUGCCUGUUCGAGCGUCAUUUCACCACUCAAGCCUCGCUUGGUAUUGGGCAACGCGGUCCGCCGCGUGCCUCAAAUCGACCGGCUGGGUCUUCUGUCCCCUAAGCGUUGUGGAAACUUUCGCUAAAGGGUGUUCGGGAGGCUACGCCGUAAAACAACCCCAUUUCUAAGGUUGACCUCGGAUCAGGUAGGGAUACCCGCUGAACUUAAGCAUAUCAAUAAGCGGAGGA